UUUGGAGGGCAAGUCUGGUGCCAGCAGCCGCGGUAAUUCCAGCUCCAAUAGCGUAUAUUUAAGUUGUUGCAGUUAAAAAGCUCGUAGUUGGACUUUGGGUUGGGUCGGCCGGUCCACCGUCAGGUGUGCACCGGUUUACUCGUCCCUUCUGUCGGCGAUGCGCUCCUUCCCUUAAUUGGGCGGGUCGUGCCUCCGGCGUUGUUACUUUGAAGAAAUUAGAGUGCUCAAAGCAAGCCUACGCUCUGUAUACAUUAGCAUGGGAUAACAUCAUAGGAUUUCGGUCCUAUUACGUUGGCCUUCGGGAUCGGAGUAAUGAUUAAUAGGGAUAGUUGGGGACAUUAGUAUUCAAUUGUCAGAGGUGAAAUUCUUGGGUUUAUUGAAGACUAACUACUGCGAAAGCAUUUGCCAAGGAUGUUUUCAUUAAUCAAGAACGAAAGUUAGGGGAUCGAAGACGAUCAGAUACCGUCGUAGUCUUAACCAUAAACUAUGCCGACUAGGGAUCGGAUGAUGUUAAUUUUUUAAUGACUCAUUCGGCGCCUUACGGGAAAC
rnacentral:rRNA from 1 species